rnacentral:misc_RNA from 1 species
CCAGGUGCCGACUCCGGUCGUGAUGACCGUCGAGAGGCAUUCUAAACCCUCUGUGAACCAAAAAAACAUUCGCUUCGGCGGCAGCCUCGGUCGGAGACGACCCCGGCGUCAGCCCGCCGUUAGCACCAACAUCAAAAACUUGUAUUCUCAAACAUUGUCUGAUGACCAAAUUUUCGAAUGAAAAUCA